AAUAUUAAAGCAUACAAAAGGCUUUUUAAAUGGGCCGACAUGUUAGAUUAUCUAAGAUUGGGUCAAGCCCAUUUAGAAGUUAGGACGUGAUAAUAAACUGUGAUGGCUUUUUAAGACAGCGACCGGAUCGAGCGGCGGCGAUUGAUUUGGAUCUGAAAGAAUGUUUCGGAGGAACAGGUUCUUGUCUCUUCCGAUGGUCGUUGGAGCUGUUGUGAUUGGUGUCGUUUCAGGUAAAGCGAUUUUCGGGCCACCACUAGAUCAGUAUUGGCAGAAGAAGCUCGAAGGAGAAGCUGCUGCCAAGGAAGCUAUUGAAAAGAGCUCAGAUUAAAAGCAGCAUAAUCUUCCUAAAGAUUUUGGUUUUAUGACCAGAGACUCGUGUAAAAUCACAGACCAUAAACUAAAGAGCUUCGAUAAUUGUUUGCGAAACUAUAUAAAGAAGCAUUCUUUAGUGUAGGAUGCGAUACAAAAUGCCAGAAAGUGUAAUAAUGUUGUAAGUGCCUUGCGUAUUACGUUUUUGCAAAUCGAAGGAGAAUGAUAAACCCUAAAGCAUCAUUCACUUCUUC